rnacentral:lncRNA from 1 species
UAAUUUGGUAUAUUAACAAAAUUUAAGUUAAUGAAGUACACACUUUUUUAAAAAUGUAAAUUGAUGUUCAGUCUGUGAAAUUUACCAUAUUUUGUAAGGUAAUGUUCUGGUGACCACAGCUGCUGAAUAUGACCUGAACUUAAGAGAUGCUGAACAGAUGGAAUAUUAACACAAGCAUGAGAAUGUAAGUGUUAUAACAGGAAUGUGAAUGUUGUGUGUAGCUAAGAGCUGGGAGAGAGAUGGCUGUCUGAAAGCAGGUGUCACUGUUCUGAGGACUGCAUGAGUGCCGGAGACAACAGCAUCUGUGAGGUUUGUAUGGUGCAGCUGCUGCUGAGAGCCGAGUAUCUUCAGUCGUGGCGUCACAAGAUCAAG